rnacentral:tRNA from 1 species
GGUUCUAUGAUGUAAUGGUUAGCACUCUGGACUUUGAAUCCAGAGGUCUGAGUUCAAAUCUUGGUAGGUCUU